UUGUUUCCGAUCUAUUUGCCAUCAAGUGAUUUGGAACCAGUCUGUUCCACAUCUGGCUCUAACUUGCUUCUUGACCUGCAUACAGAUUUCUCAGGAGGCAGGUAAGAUGGUCUGGUAUUCCCAUCUCUUUAAGAAUUUUCCACAGUUUGUUGUGAUCCACACAGUCAAAGGCUUUGGCUUAGUCAGUAAAGCAGAGGUAGAUGUUUUUCUGGAACUCUCUUUUCUGGAACCACCCACUCCUUGGUCUUUUAACAGAAGGAAAAGGUGAAAUAGUUUGGGCUUCCCUGGUGGCUCAGAGGUUAAUGCAUAUGCCUGCAAUGUGGGAGACCUGGGUUCGAUCCCUGGGUUGGGAAGAUCCCCUGGAGAAGGAAAUGACAACCCACUCCAUCUGUGAUGCCAUCCAGGCAUCUCAUCCUGGGUUGUCCCCUUCUCCUCCUGCCCCCAAUCCCUCCCAGCAUCAGAGUCUUUUCCAAUGAGUCAGCUCUUCGCAUGAGGUGUCCGAAGUACUGGAGCUUCAGCUUUAGCAUCAUUCCUUCCAAAGAAAUCCCAGGGCUGAUCUCCUUCAGAAUGGACUGGUUGGAUCUCCCUGCAGUCCAAGGGACUCUCAAGAGUCUUCUCCAACACCACAGUUCAAAAGCAUCAAUUCUUCGGCGCUCAGCCUUCU
ensembl:lncRNA